AGCUGUGUGGUAUUGUAUUUUCUGUCGCUUGAUUUUCUUUCUUAACGAGGUUUGUCAAUAUAGGACUUGUUCUUGUUGUUUUCGUAGCUCAUAGAAUCUCAUAAUUAUGAUAAUUCGCACGUAGCUGCUGAUUACGUUGAUUUGGAGUGUAUUGUUUGUUUUCGCCCAUGAACCUUUGUAUUGUUUGUUUUCGACCAUGAACCUUAGCUCAAGUGGCAUGAGAAGGGUGAGGUGAGUAUGAAGAUCCUAGGUUUGAAUCGAAAAAGGACGUAUAGUUUGUGACCAUGAGAUGAAUGCUAUACUUAAACGUGUAUGUUUGGCUGAGUGGGAUUCUUUAGUAGAUGGGUUAAUCAAUAAUGGGGAAGUUUUUUACUUUCUGAGGAGAAUAGGAAGUUACGUAUGGAAUUAGUUUGGACAAAGUCAUGGAUAAGACUUCUUUGUAUGGUUUACGGGAUGUGAUGAGAAUGGUAAUAUUUGUUGGUAUAAAUUUGGAAGAGUGAACUUCUCUUCCACAUUUUCUUAAAAAUAUUUUUUUUUAACAGUGAAACCUGUGCUUCCCCCUUCAUUUAGUUUCAGGUGCACUUGGUAUCUUUUAAGGUUACAAACUUGUGGUAGAGAGUAGUAGACUAAGACAAGCAGUGGGUAUUUGUUUUAUCAAAGUAUGCUUUCAUCAUGUUUCACUGGGGAUUCAUGAUUUUAGUUAUCUUUAAAAAGAAUGAAAUAUGCUGGAUAAUUGGAUUUUUGGCAACCUAAAGAGUUCACAUUAUCUCGUAUGGUGGAUGAAAGGAGCAGUUUUCUUUUUGAGAUAUUUCUUGCUGCUUGAGGGUUUUCUUAUGCUUUCCUUCCACUCCUGAAGUAUUUUGUGGUCAAUGUGAUCUCCCCGUUAUUGUGGCUGCAUGGACUAACCUUUUGCUUGAGUGUCUAUGUUGAUUUGUGCAUUUUGAGUAUCAAUUUUCAGUUACCAUGUUACUGUAUAAUUGACCGAACCUUAAUUGGGAGAUUGAUUUAGACGUUCUACCGAACCUUAGGUUAUUUUUAUUGUGAUUGACAGUGACGUUGGUUGUGCUUAGUUACAAGAUUUUAACUUCCUACUCUAGAAGACUAUGACUUUUUUUUUCCCUCCUUUUUGAACAAAAAAAUUUAUAUAGAAAAUGACCUUAUUUUUAUUUUUCAAAGAUUGUAUAUAAUAUAACUGAAUCAUUCGUAAAGGAUGGUAAAUGAAAUUAGUGCUAAAGUCUGAACGUUGGAGGGUAUAACAUAUAGACCUGUUCACCCACUCCACGGGGAGUGAGGAAUUCCACGGUCAACCUACCUUUCAGCUACUAGAUGGACACUUAUAUUGUCUGUAAACACUAAAAUAAUAGCUGAGGAUAGUCAAGUGCUUAAAUGAUUGCACAUUUGGAUUAUUUUUUGCAUGAUCCUUAAAUGGACACUUUAAAAAUAAAUGGUUUAGAUAAUUGAAUCACAAUGUAUAGUGGAUCCCAAAAAGUUGGUAACCCUGGAACUGCUUGCUCACUAUGAAGUGGGUAACUGGACCAUGUAUGCAUCUAAAUGUUUUUUUUUUGACUUGUUCCAUGUUCUAUAAUGUCCU
rnacentral:lncRNA from 1 species